GUUGUUUUCUUUUCUCGCAUUCAUUAAAAUGCACAAGAAGAAAUUUCUAAUGGUGAGGGAGUACUUGCUUCAAAUUCAUACUUCAGUGAAAUAAACAACACCACACAUCAGGAAUGUGAAAGCAAAGUCAUCAUACACUGUUUGCUUCAUUGUAUGAGAAUCAAUGUUUGCAUGAUAAACUGCCCUAAUGGAAGAGGACUCUGAGUUACCUUUUUAGAGCAAAGCCACCUAGGUU